rnacentral:rRNA from 1 species
UACGUAGGGGGCUAGCGUUGUCCGGAAUCAUUGGGCGUAAAGAGCGUGUAGGCGGCCAAGUAGGUCCGGUGUGAAAACUCGAGGCUUAACCUCGAGAUGUCAUCGGAAACCAUUUGGCUAGAGUCCGGAAGAGGAAAGUGGAAUUCCUGGUGUAGCGGUGAAAUGCGCAGAUAUCAGGAAGAACACCAAUGGCGAAAGCAGGUCACUGGGCCGCAAACUGACGCUGAGGAGCGAAAGCAUGGGGAGCGAACAGGA